rnacentral:lncRNA from 1 species
UGGAUCUUUGCUCAGUAUAAGAAAACUUACCCUGAACAUUUACUGGUUGAUCCCACACUCACUAACAGAGCUUGUGAUUGAAGAUCAUGUAGUAUUUUCCUAGGUGCUUCUUGAUGCUGCCUUUGAAACAGUGAUUGUACUUGACCUUGUGUCUGAAGGUCAUUGAGGUCAGAUAGUGAUGGAGUUGUCAGAAUGUUCUUUGAGGGAGGUAAUAGCUUGCCUGCCUCAUCUGCCUGUCGCUAUGUUUGUUCAGAUUUAUCAACUUUGUGGUAUUUAGAAUAACUGAACAGUUUAUUAUGAUAAUAAAUUGUAUUGUUGACAUGUCUUGGAUUGCUAUCAUGUCUUCCCUGAUAAUGGCAACACGGCUGAUCUGGUUUGUGGAACAUGCAUUUUAAGUUUAUGUUUUGAGGAAGUAUGCUGUGUGUGUGUAUCUUGCUAUUUGUAAUGUUGGCCCACAAUAUUCAUCAAAAUAUAAUCUGCAAAUCACCCUGAUCAAUGUCCAACACUGGGCCCAUUCCUGGAAGGGAAGGGAGCAGAAGUCAGUGUUGAAGUAUGUGAUCAUCUUAUCUUUGUGAUGGCUUGGUGGAACUGGGCAUUGAUCUUCUUCUCAUUUCGGUUCGCACCUAUGGGCACUAUUUUAACAUGAGCCUCCAUUAUGUUUUAACUUGGUUUUUAAGCAUAUUUUUAGUAGGAAUCAUCAACUUGAGAAGUGUCAAUGGAAUAUGGAGCUGUUCCCUUGUAACAAUUUGAUAAUGCAGACAUGAUGCUAUAUAAUCAUCAUUGAGCUGAGCUGAAGGUCUGUAGUGCUGAAACUCAAUAUUGCGGAGUUGCUUCCCUUGACAAUGCCUGGAGCCAUUCCUAUGUGUUUCAUUAUAAUGUUCUGCAGUUUCUCCAAUGAUGACUGAUGGGAUUUUAAACCAAAUAUGUUCAUGUUUACAUUCAUCCAUGGCAUUUGUUCUUCCUGAUUUUCAUGUGGCUGUCUUUAGUAAGACUUUAUUUUAUCACACAAUCAAACUGAUAAUGAUGAUAUCAAAUCAUCCCCAUCUGGCUAGAGGCAGGAAUUGAAAUAGCUGGACAUUUUUUAUGUGAUUUUAUCCUGGAUUAAAACUGGUCCGUGUCAAUCUAUGCUUGUAAGAGGUGAUUAAAAUGAAUUAGGGUGUCAGGUUUGGUGAUGUGGUUGAUUGCAUGUUGUUGCAUUGUGGCAUGCUCAUUGUAUCAACCACUGGUUUGUCUGGCCCAGAUUUGUAUACUUCCAGGUAGACUUGAUUAUAAAACUCAAAAGGAGUGAAGGAUCACCAUAUGUGAAUCUGUCAUGCCACGACAGAGAUGAACAAUAUUAAGAAUCAGUUUGCCUUAACUUUGGUUGAGUAGUAUAGAUGGAGUAAUGCUGACUGUGGCUCUCACUCUCACUCUCACUCACUCUCUCUCACUCACACACACACACACACACACACACACACACACUCACUCACUCACUCACUCACUUAGGGAUCAGCUUUAUGUUCUGGCCAUUUGUUAUUGUCUUGUAGAUGUUCCCAAGUUAAAAGGAAAUGUAGACAUCCAUGAUCAUAAUUAUGUUUCGUACCUCUGAGAAAAGUUGCCUUAAGGGCAUUUCCAGUUACUAUCCUAAAUUCAAUUUUUACAAUAUUAUUUUUCUCUAUUCAAAAUUCAAAAUGCCACCAUAGGGAAUUAUAGAGUCAUCCACAGGUUGUAGCCAUGCUCAUAGUAUGACAUAACAUUUGUAAAAGUGUGAAGUAAUGGCUAGAUUAGAAAUUGCUGUCAGAAGAGAAUUGGUGUGGGGGUGUGAAUGGCUACUUGUAGAUGUUUGAGCUAUGCUGGUGUGAGUGUGACCACUGUAGCAGAAUAUUAGCUCCCUGACUGUGUAAAAUGUCAUCUUAAACUUUGGGGUGUUGAGUGAACUUCUCACACCAUGUAGCAUACAGAAUGCAUAGUGUAACCAUCCUGUCAUCCCCUGUAUCAUACACCCACAGUCUGUGUCUUUUAGUGAGGAUAGGAAAGUUUGUCAAGGUCGUGUUCAGGGGACAAAAGGUCAUUGUGAGAAACUGCCACAGUAAACAUUUACCCAAAGUCAGGUAGUGAAGGCGAAGGACUCUGUCCCACGCCCUGCUCGGACCUAGAUAAUGAUAAGCUUGGGACACUUGUUUCUGUGACAUUAAGUGUAAGGUUGAGGUCUGACAGUAGUAUAGACAAUGAGAACAUCAGUGGGACAUCAUUUGGUGUUCUGCUAAAUUUGUCCUGUGUUUGUGGGGGCUGUUGGAGCAGACGUGAGGUGAAAACGCUUAAUAAUGGGGGGUGGUCCCAUUCUCUUCUGUCUGUACUACUUCUGACAGUGUUGGCUGUAGAUACACGUGAUGAUUUUAGAGGUGAGCAAGAUACACUAGGUCCAGAACUCCAGCUUAUACCAUCCUGAGUUAAGUCACAGUAACACAGUAGAUGGGCAACGUAGUGUGCCACCAGUGCAUCAACCAUAGCUGUUUGGGGCAACGUAGAGUGACAACAGUAGCUGUAACGGAUCAUUCCAGGUUGUAUUCCUCCACCAUCUCAGGACCGUUCCUAGCAUGUCUAAAACAUGGUUGUAAUAUUUAUUUGCCAGAAUGGUUGCUGUUGGAUGAAUGAUGUGAAUCUGGUUGUCAUGGUUUUUCUUGCAUUGUUUUUAACCUGUGUAAUGUAUAAUUUAUUCACCUGUUUUAUCUGCGCACUGCACGGUUAAUUUGCUGUAGCUAUCACUCGGAACAUAUGUUAGCAUAAGCAUGGUCCUCAUACAGCUAGUAAAGACAAACUAUAUAAAGGUAUGGUGUGGUCUGUGAUUUCACAAUUCAUUGACUUGUCUUUUGACUUGCACUUGAUAGUUUGUGACUCGUAGAAAACUGGACAUAGACAUUUAUCAGUCAUCUUAAGACUGGCUUUGUGAUGGGUCCUGGGGUAGGGUUAGGGGGCUGUUUUCUCUUCUUGAUCUUUUUCCAGAAAUACUGUGAAAAAAAACCCCAACAUUACUUGCAUUUUGUCCAGCUCACCUUUCAGACAUUUUUCUUGUUUUGUUCAACCAUUGACCUGUCUCUUGUCUCAAAUAUACUACUCAGAAUUAGUGGCAUGAUCAUGACAUGACAGUAACUACAGAAAUGUGAAAAUAAGAUGAGUGUUUGUUAAAUUUUCAGCAUUUUCUAUAUAUUCAACAUUUUGUAAGGAUCACACCUUUAACUGAAGAUGGCUAUUUUAGUCUUAACCAAAAGUGAUGGAUGUUUAAUUGUCAUUUCUUUAAAAUGCUGCAUUGAUGUCCAAAAUAUAAUUAGCCAGUUUAUAUAAUUAAUCAGGAAUAUACUUCCUUCACAUAUCUGCUUUGUAAGAGGCGACUAACGGGAUCGGGUGGUCAGGCUCUCUGGCUUCGUUGACACAUGUCAUCUGUUCCCAAUUGAGCAAAUCUAUGCUCAUGAUGUUGAUCACUGGAUUGUCUGGUCCAGACUCGAUUAUUUACAGACCGCCGCCAUAUAGCUGGAAUAUUGCUGAGUGCGGCAUAAAACUCAACUCACUCACUCAUAUGUCUACUGUAGCAAAAAGAAAAGAACUUGAACUCAUGACAAGAAGUACAAAGAGAAAGUUCAGCAAGAAUCCCUGACCUUGUGCAGGCACAGUGUUAUCUUUGGUUGUUUCUUCCAACUCCUUUCGUUGUUUUGAAGAUAUUUUCUGUGAAUGGAAUUUAAUUAUCUAGCGUUGGUGUCAAGCAGUAUUUUGUUCAAAGCAGAUGAGGUUUGUUUCACUAUAUGCAAACAUAAUAAAUACAUGUGCCAUUGUUUACCAUGUGCUUCUGACCUGCAGAAGCUGUGGGUAUGAUCUAUGGUAUGUAUGUACCAGAUGUCUUCAUGCGCUACUCAAGAGAACUUAAAGUAUA